UACAGAGGUGGCAAGCGUUGUUCGGAAUUACUGGGCGUAAAGGGCGCGUAGGCGGCCUACUAAGUCAGACGUGAAAUCCCCCGGCUUAACUGGGGAGGGUCAUUCGAUACUGCUCGGCUCGAAGACAGGAGAGGGAAGCGGAAUUCCCGGUGUAGUGGUGAAAUGCGUAGAUAUCGGGAGGAACACCAGUGGCGAAGGCGGCUUUCUGGCCUGUUCUUGACGCUGAGGCGCGAAAGCUAGGGGAGCAAACGGG
rnacentral:rRNA from 1 species